GACAGCCCAGCCCAUUAGGCAGCUACCAGAUGGCUUAGAACUCUGCCAGGAGCAAGCUGUGAUGUCAUAAUCGAAAUUCAAAUCCUGAACAUUCAGCCAUUCAUUUCAGUGGGGAAAUUGAAAUAACGCAAAAACGACAAGGGGCAGCCACACGACAAAUGUAAGCAAGCUACACACCGGUUUGGGCCUGAAUUUUUAGAGUUGGAACCGUAUCGAUAGCUCAAACGGUCUAGGAGCAGUAGUCUGUGCAAAACAUGGGUGAAGGGGAAUAAUAAAUAAGAAACCUUAAGAAGAACAACAGUGGGCUUGCUGGAUCAAACCCACUAAUAAUAAUAAUAAUAAUAAUAAUAAGAAAACUUAAGAAGAACAACAGUGGGCUUGCUGGAUCAAACCCACUAACUAGAAUUGCGUUUCCGAGGAACUGCAAGAGUGGGUUUGAUCAGGUGCAGUUUGGGCACACGGACCAAAUCUCUGCGAGGAAUUUCUCUGGGAAUGCUGAAGGUGCAGGCAGGUCUUCCCAUGAUGCUUUGAGUGAUCGGAGGACGUGUGUGUCCGUAACGCCUGCAGCUCAGCCAGGAUGAGGCGCAGCAGAGACGAAUCGUCCUCCUUCCUCUCCAUCGACGGAACCACUCCUGUGCCGGUCCUCCAGGUGAGAGCGUUCGCAUCACACUUCGAGGCCAUCCGCAUCAGGAAACUGACCGUGAUGGUCUCAAUGAUGCUGCAGCCCACAAACAAGAAGACCCCAGUGCAGAACAUUCCUGUGGACAUGGAGAUCGAGUAGAGUUGUGUUCAUGGCUGCCCACUUCCCUGCCUGAAUAAAAACCCUGUGAAGGCUGA